rnacentral:snRNA from 11 species
GUUGAGCAGAUCUGGCUGGCUAGGCAGGUGUCCCCUUCCUCCCUCACCACUCCAUGUGCGUCCCUCCUGAAGUUGUGCACUCGGUGGAAGAGGACAACGUCCCAGGUAUAGAAGGAGUGUACUGAGGUCACCAGUCUUCAGCCAUCAUGUUAAAAUCAUAGAAUUAUAGAAUCUU